rnacentral:rRNA from 1 species
CAAUAGCGUAUAUUAAAGUUGUUGCAGUUAAAAAGCUCGUAGUUGGAUUUCUGGUGGGAGCGAUCGGUCUGGCGCUUAGCGCGAGUACUUGCAUCGUCUCCGGCCAUCCUUGGGGAGAGUCUGUCUGGCAUUAGGUUGUCGGGCAGAGGAUCCUCAUCGUUUACUGUGAAAAAAUUAGAGUGUUCAAAGCAGGCUUAUGCCGUUGAAUAUAUUAGCAUGGAAUAAUAAGAUAGGACUUUGGUACUAUUUUGUUGGUUUGCGCACCAAAGUAAUGAUUAAUAAGGACAGUUGGGGGUAUUCGUAUUCCGUUGUCAGAGGUGAAAUUCUUGGAUUUACGGAAGACGAACUACUGCGAAAGCAUUUACCAAGGAUGUUUUCAUUAA